GACGAACGCUGACGGCGUGCUUAACCCUUGCAAGUCGAAGGGAGUGGCGAACGGGUGAGUAACACGUGAGUAACCUGCCCUUUUCUUUGGGAUAAGCCUGGGUAACUGGGUCUAAUACUGGAUGGCUUGGGAUGGGCUCGCGGCUUAUCCGCUUGUUGGUGGGGUGCUGGCUUACCAAGGCUUUGCCGGGUAGCCGGCCUGAGAGGGUGGUCGGUCACACUGGGAGUGAGAAACGGCCCAGACACCGACGGGAGGAAGCAGUGGGGGAUAGUGCAAAAUGGACGGAAGUCUGAUGCAGCGACGUCGAGUGGGGAUGAAGGCCUUCGGGUUGUAAACUCCUUUCGCCAGCGGAAUGGUAGUGGGUAAAGAAGCGCCGGCUAACUACGUGCCAGCAGCCGCGGUAAUUC
rnacentral:rRNA from 1 species